rnacentral:misc_RNA from 1 species
UAGAAGUAAUCUCCCUCUUAUUCAAGCUAAUGGAGAAGCAAACAAGCCUGUUUCCUUAUUCUUUGACAAAGCCGUGUGUGCAAGUCAUGAGAAUGGAGAAGAAUCCAAAUUCAAACAAAACAAAAGUAGCUCGGAUGCUUGUAGAAGCAUUGUUUCAGAAAAAAUGGUGACAAGUACAAAUGGAGAUCAGAAUGAUUUUAUGUUAGAGGAAAGAGGAUAUACAAGAAAA